rnacentral:lncRNA from 1 species
UUCUUUUUUCUUUUCUUCGUUACACCGUUAGAUCUAAGAUGUGCGGGUUAGAUUAGUUCUUAGAAUACCACUUCGGUUUAGAUUAGAAAACCGUCGGUUUUAUUUCACUUAUUCUUUAGCCAGUAGUUUCGGUUAGAACUAGGCCGUUUGCUCCUAACGUUUGCAACAAACAACUCCGCAGCCUAUCGUCGCGCGCCACGUAUACCCCCUGUUAGUUAGCUAGUUAACUUCAUUUUUU